GAGGGGAAUAACGGCAAAGCAUUUGCUUAAUUCCGAAGCCAACAAGAGGGAAAAAGGCCGUCUAGGACGCGGCUUUUUAUCGCUAGCUCCGGCAGGAUUCCGGGCUUCUGUCGCCGUGGGAGCCACCACGUUACCCUGCUACUGCGUCUCGACGAGGCACCGGACACGAGCAUUUCAUUCGCCGGUGUCACGUUGAGGAUAACAAUGGAGGUAAAGUGAAGUCUUGUGAACCAAGUACGGGGUAGAGGUCCACCUUUGAGCUGGCCACUGACAUGAUUUCUUCUUGUUUAAUACCAUAUCUGGUACCCAAACUUUUAGCCCUCAAAAGUGCAUGUUGCUGCUCUGCUUUAGCUUGAUCUGUUUAAGAUAAAAGUCUUCAUAUGUGUUAAAUACAUCUUGUAGCUGGAUUUCUUUUCUUUUCAGUGCUUAACUCUUUUGUAGAUCUCUCUUUACAGGGAGGACAGCUUUAUGUGCAUGAACUUCUAGCUAGGUGUGAACAAAAGAAAGCGAGCAAAGGUCACACUGGCGUGCAUGAAUGUAAUGGGUCUCACCAGAGAUGUAGGUGGCUCCAAGCACAAAACAACACUUUGGGAUUUGGUCAU
rnacentral:lncRNA from 1 species